GUCCACGCCGUAAACGAUGGGCACUAGGUGCUUCGGGGAGCGACCCUCGGAGUGCCGGCGCUAACGCAUUAAGUGCCCCGCCUGGGGAGUACGGCCGCAAGGCUGAAACUCAAAGGAAUUGACGGGGGCCCGCACAAGCAGUGGAGCAUGUGGUUUAAUUCGACGCAACGCGAAGAACCUUACCUGCGCUUGACAUGUACGGGAAACCUGCCAGAAACGGCAGGCCUCCUUCGGGACCCGUGCACAGGUGCUGCAUGGCUGUCGU
rnacentral:rRNA from 1 species